rnacentral:rRNA from 1 species
GACGAACGCUGGCGGCGUGCUUAACACAUGCAAGUCGAACGAAGAGCGAUGGAAGCUUGCUUCUAUCAAUCUUAGUGGCGAACGGGUGAGUAACGCGUAAUCAACCUGCCCUUCAGAGGGGGACAACAGUUGGAAACGACUGCUAAUACCGCAUACGAUCCAAUCUCGGCAUCGGGACUGGAUGAAAGGUGGCCUCUAUUUAUAAGCUAUCACUGAAGGAGGGGAUUGCGUCUGAUUAGCUAGUUGGAGGGGUAACGGCCCACCAAGGCGAUGAUCAGUAGCCGGUCUGAGAGGAUGAACGGCCACAUUGGGACUGAGACACGGCCCAGACUCCUACGGGAGGCAGCAGUGGGGAAUCUUCCGCAAUGGACGAAAGUCUGACGGAGCAACGCCGCGUGAGUGAUGACGGCCUUCGGGUUGUAAAGCUCUGUUAAUCGGGACGAAUGGUUCUUGUGCGAAUAGGGCGAGGAUUUGACGGUACCGGAAUAGAAAGCCACGGCUAACUACGUG